rnacentral:rRNA from 1 species
UACGUAGGGUGCGAGCGUUGUCCGGAAUUAUUGGGCGUAAAGAGCUCGUAGGCGGUCUGUCGCGUCGAAUGUGAAAACCCGGGGCUCAACUCCGGGCUUGCAUUCGGUACGGGCAGGCUAGAGUUCGGUAGGGGAGUCUGGAAUUCCUGGUGUAGCGGUGAAAUGCGCAGAUAUCAGGAGGAACACCGGUGGCGAAGGCGGGACUCUGGGCCGAUACUGACGCUGAGGAGCGAAAGCGUGGGGAGCGAACAGG